rnacentral:rRNA from 1 species
UACGAAGGGUGCAAACGUUGCUCGGAAUCAUUGGGCGUAAAGCGCACGUAGGCGGCUUUGUAAGUCGGAUGUGAAAUCCCUCGGCUCAACCGAGGACGUGCAUUCGAAACUGCGGAGCUCGAGUAUGGAAGAGGGUCGCAGAAUUCCCGGUGUAGAGGUGAAAUUCGUAGAUAUCGGGAGGAAUACCAGUGGCGAAGGCGGCGACCUGGGCCAAUACUGACGCUGAGGUGCGAAAGCGUGGGGAGCAAACAGG